UCCGGUUUGUCACCGGCAGUCCCAUUAGAGUGCUCAACUAAAUGUAGCAACUAAUGGCAAGGGUUGCGCUCGUUGCGGGACUUAACCCAACAUCUCACGACACGAGCUGACGACAGCCAUGCAGCACCUGUGUCCAGGUUCCCUUUCGGGCACCCUCACAUCUCUGCGAGGUUCCUGGCAUGUCAAGGGUAGGUAAGGUUUUUCGCGUUGCAUCGAAUUAAUCCACAUAAUCCACCGCUUGUGCGGGUCCCCGUCAAUUCCUUUGAGUUUUAGCCUUGCGGCCGUACUCCCCAGGCGGGUCACUUAAUGCGUUAGCUCCGGCACAGGAGGAAGGUGGGGAUGACGUCGUAUCUCACUG
rnacentral:misc_RNA from 1 species